CACUGAUUCUCGGAUGUGUGGGCGGAUUGGCAAUUUUACUUCUGAUUAUAAUUCUGGCAAAAUUCCGAUUAAAGGCAUCACGUGAUGUUAAUACAAAUUCGGUGGAACCAAGUCAAAGCGCAGAACCGGCUAGACAAGAACCAGUUGAAC